rnacentral:rRNA from 1 species
UUCUAACCGUAAACGAUGACAACCAGCGAUUAAUCGGCGUUAAUAUAUGACCCGAUUAGCAGCUUCCGGGAAACCAAAGUUUUUCGUUUCCGGGGGAAGUAUGGUUGCAAAGCUGAAACUUAAAGGAAUUGACGGAAGGGCACCACCAGGAGUGGAGCCUGCGGCUUAAUUUGACUCAACACGGGAAAACUCACCCGGCCCGGACACUGUAAGGAUUGACAGACUGAGAGCUCUUUCUUAAUUCGGUGGGUGGUGGUGCAUGGCCGUUCUUAGUUGGUGGAGCGAUUUGUCUGGUUAAUUCCGAUAACGAACGAGACUCUGGCCUAUUAAAUAGACGAUAUAUUUAAAAGUAUAUCGCGCUUCUUAGAGGGACAAGCGGCGUCUAGCCGCAUGAAAUAGAGCAAUAACAGGUCUGUGAUGCCCUUAGAUGUCCGGGGCUGCACGCGCGCUACACUGAAAGAAUCAGAGUGCGUUAUACCUAGUUCGGAAGAACCGGGUAACCCAAGUAAAUUCUUUCGUGCUUGGGAUAGGGAAUUGCAAUUAUUUCCCUUAAACGAGGAAUUCCCAGUAAAUGCGGGUCAUAAGCUCGCGUUG